rnacentral:lncRNA from 1 species
AGAUUGAUUUCCUAUAAUUAUGUUAAAACAUGCUGCCAGACGUGAACAUGAAAUACCUACCGGCAAAUCUCUCGGAAAUUGUAAGUUGGCAGUGUUUAAGAAUUGCAAAACAGACAGCGCAGCAAAAGGUUAAGAAAAAAGAAUAUUACACGCAUGCAUGGCUAAAUGCUUAUAGAAAAGUAUCGAGAGUUCACCAUUGAAAUCGGUCGGGGAAAUUAGAUUUUCCGCAUAAACAACAGCUCUGUACAUGAAAGCUUCGCAAAGUUCUUCACAGAUAUUGAAGGUAUCAACUAGCUUCCCGUCUUGGAUGUUCCACCUCUUCAAUUUCAUCCCAUCCUGCAAUCCUACGACUUCUCUGCUUCUGCACAAGUAGAGUGGCCAAAAAUCGUAAAUACUGCCAUAUUCAGUUUCAAAGACAUUAAGCAGUUUACUCCAUGAUGCCUUGACGCCAUAUUCUUUCAUCGCCCAUAUCUCUACUUUAUCCAUAGAUGGAGAAAACAAUAAACUAAGGCAUCCCCCGAGCUCUCCUAGUACAAGACGGUGAUUUGGAAUACUCUGAGGCAUUGGCAGCUUCUGGAAUUUUUCCUUUGCUAAAUCCAAAGCAAUGAAUUCACUGGAAAUCUCAUAAGGACGCAAGAAAGUUGAUGGAAGUUGGGGUUUUGAGUAAGAAAGCCAAUGGAGGGCUCCAUUCAAAAGAGGGGCAGGUGAAUCACCUAUAUAAUUAACCAAAAUAUAUGUGCUUCCAUAAGGGCAGCACAAGCUUCUCCACGAGCUUGAUUUUGAUGAGAAAAUUUGAAAUAUUGUUCUCUCUUCAAGGGAGACCAAAACAAUCUUAAAACAUUCAGAGGAUGGAUCAUAGCCAAAGCCAUAGGAAUAAUAAGUGAAUGAAUCACUAGGAUAAGGUAUUACCAGAUGGGUACCAGUGCAUGGGUUCCAGAUUACGAGCUUAUGAUCGAAGUUACUGCCUAUACAAACCAGUCCACUGCAUGAGCCAAUCACGUCGACCCCUAACUCAACCUGUUUUAGUACUUUCCUUGGAAUGUUAAGAUUAACGAAUGCACAAGUAUUGCCGAAUGGUGUUUCAUAGUCUAAGGAUUGACACGUACCAGAGACUGAAAAUAAAAGGAUUUUCGGGUUGUUGGAGGCUCGUUUUGCUUGCAGAUUAACAAAACGACUUUCGGAGAUUAAAGAAUACAAUGUUUUGGAAGCACUUUUGAAUCGCACAAGAGAUUUAACAGGCAGUCGUAGAAGGAUAUCUUCAAUGAUCUCUGGAAAAAGAGACAUAUUUAUUAUGGAUGCUUCUGAUGAUGCUGAUGCUGAUGCUGCUGAUGAUGCUCUCUCCCUCCUCUUUUUAUACUCUUAAUUUGCGGUGGCCUUGAGGGUUUCGGAGAACGGGAGAAUUCCAUUUUUGUGCUCUUAAUUUUCGGUCGCCGUAAGGGUCUGGCGGCUAUUCUCAGCUAGGUAUGCGACUUCUGUGUUUUUAUUUCUACGUUUGCAUUUAAUAUAGACCUUAUUUUAUUAUUAAAAUAAAAUUUAUAAAAAUAAAUAUUAAUUAUUCUAAACUAUAUUUUCAAAAAAAUUAUUAUUUAAUUCUUAUUUCAUUGAAAAUUUUAUUAGUUGAUGAUCUGAUUUUAAAAAAUUUACAUUAAACGUACUCAAAACUUUAAAAAAAUUUAUUAAUUAAUAUGUUUUAUUAUUUAAUUUUUAUAAUAUAAAAAAAAUUAUUAAUUAAUAUUUUAAUUUUAUAAAAAUAUAUAUUUUACCGUAUAUAAUUUAUGUUCAUUUUAUUUUUUCAUAAAACUUAAAAAAAUAAUUUUUUAAUUAAUUUUUAUAUUAUAUCCAUUUUAAGAAUAUUAAAUUUGUUAAAUAUUAAAUCGUAUUUUAAGUGAUUUUUUAAAAAUUAAAUAAAAUUAUAAUAUUCAACUUAUAUAUUAUUAUAAUAUGUAAAAAAAUAGAUAAUAAUUUUGAGAUAACCAUUAAAAAAAUAUGAAUAAAAAUUAUAGUACAGAGAAAAUAUUAAUCAGUCUAUUUAUAUUAUAUUAAAGAUAUUUUAAAUUUUUAUAUAAUAUUUAACCACUAAAUUUAAUAAAAAUAAAUUAAUUAGUAAACUAUUUAAAAUAUUAAAAAUAUUAUAUUUUUUAAAAUCGAUUAAUUAAUUAAUUAAUUUUUUAUAUUAUAUUGAUUAAAUAAUACAUAUUUUUUAAAAUUAUAUAUGUAGUGGUGGAUCCAUUAAGAAUAAAGUAAUUUAUUACUUAAGAUUAUUGGAUUUUUUUUAGUUAAUUCACAAUUUUAAAGAAAUAUUUAAAUCUUCAGAAUCAUAACAACUUGGAUUUUAUAAUCCAAACUAGAUUAAUUUCCCUCAUUAGCUAAAAUUUAUUAAUUAAUAAUAAUGGUUCAAAAUCCUUGUCCAUCAAGUGGAUUGCAGCUCACACCAUGCGAGAAGAUUCUAACUAAAUAGGAGAAGUAAAAUAGCUAGGAUUCCUAUUAUACUAUUUAUGAAAAUUUAUAAUAUUAUAAAACUAAAAUUAAAAAACUAAAAUUAAAUUUUUGGUGUUAAACCUGCAUAUUAAAAUGUAUUUUUUUUAUGAAAUAAAGAGACAAAAAAAUUGGAGAGCUUGUAGAAAAGAAAAAGAAAUGUUUAUUUAUUUAUUUAUUUAUUUAUUUUGAUUAACAUGAAAACUGUAAUAAGAUAAUAAAAGGGAGUUUGAUGAUAAUAAAAUAAAUUAGAAUUGAGAAAUUAUAAUUAAAAUUUAUCUCGUAUUAAGAGAAUGUUUGUCUUAACUUAUAACUCAGACAAACAAGAUUAUAAAUUCUAAAAUUAAGUUUGAUCUAUUUUUUAAAAAUUUACAAUUUAAUCUUUUUUUUUUUAAGUAAAACAAUUUAGUUUUUAAAGUUUUAUUCUAAAUAAAAAAUAAUAUUUUUGUUAAAAUUUGUGGUUAAUAUAUAAUAAUUUAUUCAUUCUAAUUUUCACUUAUUAUAACAACUUAGUCCUUAUAGUUUUAGCAUUUGUAACAGUAUAUUCUUUUUUAAUUUGGAUUGGCUUUUCUAGUUUAUAUUUGACUAACAGUGAAUUUAAAUUAAAUAUGGAUUUAAAAAUUUAGUUUUUUAGGUUUUGGGCAUAAAAUAAAAAUUUAAAGGAUUGAAUUACUAAAAUGAUUUUUUUUUUAAAAAAUAAAGGUUCAAUGUCUCACGGACGUGGCUGUGUUUCCUCCUCAUUUCAAAGAAAAAAAACAAGAAAAGAGAAAGGGGAGAGUUAAUUACAAGGGAAGUUCCAUAAAUGAAGAGGAGGAAUAAGAGAAAGAAAAAGGGAGGAAAAGAAUGAAGAAUAAAGAAUAAAGAAAUAUAUAUAUAUAUUUCAUCACUAAAAAUCUACUUAUCUAUACUUUCAUAUUUUCGAUGAGGGUCUAAAAUUCUUUUGUUGCAAAUAAGGACAUUAACUUUUAUUUUUAAAGCAUCGUUAGAAUAAAUAGCUAUCAGUGUUAAGUUUCAUUAAUAUGGCAUGAUGAUAUUAUCUCCAUAUUUGAUAAUGGAGUACUAAUGUGACAUGAUGACAUCAUAUUUUAUAAUGUCAUAUCAUCUUUGUGGAUGAUAUAUCACCACAUCACAUGCCACAUCAUCUUAGAUGAUGAUCUAAAGAGGCAAGAACCCAGAGGACUUUAAGAGGAUUGCUUGUGACCUUUCCCAUAAUCUUUAGAGGCAAGAAGCAGAUAGCUUCACUCCUUAUUCAUCACAGGUAUAUUCCCCUUAAUCCCAAUAUUAAUUUUUAAUUUGUUAUGUUCUAUUGUGCCCGAUGAGGUUCGUGCAAUCUUUUUUUAUAUGAAAAUCUAAAAAGUGCCUACUCCUAAUGGGUACCAGGUAGGUUUCUUUUAAUGUUACUAGAAUUUAAUUGGUGCUUCUAUUAGUUUGGAGGUAAGGAAAAUUGUAAUUGGGAAAUUCAUUGAAGCCUGCUAGAAUAAGACUUUUAUUACUAUUGUACCUAAGAAGCCUAAUCCUUCAGCCUAUUUAUUUGUUCUUUAUUUUUUAUAAGAUUGUUACUGAAGUCCUAUCUAAUAAACUCAGACCUUUUCUCCCUCAUAUUAUAGAGUCUAAUUAGAUCAGUUUUGUUCCUAAUCAUAGAAUUAUUAUAAUAUUAUUUUUGUACAAAAAGUCAUGUAAUCAUAUUGAAAAAGGCAAGAAAGGUUUUUUUGGCUUUUAAAGUGGAUCUAGAGAAAGGUUAUGAUCAUAUCUACUAGGACUUUGCGCAAGAUAAUUUUUUGGAUGUUGGUUUACCCAUUAGUUUUAUUAAUACUAUGACAAAUUGUAUUUCUAGUUCUCUAGCAGGGUAACAAAGUCUUUUUGCUCUAAUAGAGGAUUAAGAUAAAAGGACCCUAUAUCCUUGUACGUAUUCAUUCUCUGCAUGGAAAAGUUAGCUCAUGUCAUUACUAAGGCCGUUUCUGAAGGUAAGUGGGUACCGAUACAACUUAAUAAAGGUAGGCCUAAACUAACUCAUUUGUUUUUUACAAUGAUCUUGUUAUUUUUGCUGAAGCCUUUGCAAGGCAAGCAACUAUCAUUAAUGAUGUUUUGAAAUGUUUCUAUGAGAGCUCCAGUAAGAAGGCCAAUAAAGCCAAAUCUCGUGUUUUCGUCUCCAGCAAUGUUGACAAUAUGGCAAGAAAGAGUAUUAGUAGCAAUUUAGGUGUGCAAGUUACCGAUAACCUAAGAAAGUACUUAGGAGUGUCACUCAUUCAUAGUAGGAUGAACAAGCAGAACUUUCAGUUUUGAUAAAAUUAGUAAUAAGCUUUCCAAUAUGGAAAAAUAGUAUGCUAGCUCUAGCAAGUCACAUCACUUUAGCCCAAUCCGUAUUAGCAUCUAUCCCAAUAUAUGCGAUGCAAUCUACUUUAAUAAGUUUAACGAUAAACAAUUAUAAUUGUUAAUGAUAAUUAACGAUUAAUUUUUAACUUAUAACAAGAAAUUAUUCUUUCAUUAAAAAGCAUUUUUCUUAUAAUGAAGGUAAAAGAUGAUCAAGAAUAGUUAUUAGUUCUUUGUACGAUUUAAUUUUUAAAAUCAUAUAAGGUUUAAAACUUUCUAGAUCUAUAAAGAUACAAUUUCUAUAUAUAAAUAUAUAUUUUAUAUCAAUAAAGAACAUAAAUUUUUCGCCCUUUUUUUUUUUGAAUUCAACUAAAAAAGCAUGUUCUUUGGAUGCCUCAAAUUUAAGAUAUAGAAUAUUAAAAUUAAUUUCAUUUUAUUAUAAAUCUUUUUGGUUUAUUUAAAAUGUCAAAAAUAAAAAUUUAAUUUUUUUGAAUGAGUUGAUAGUAAGGAAUUAAAAUGGAUGAAGGAGUUAAUUCAUAAAAUAAUCAAAGAGAUAAAAAUACUUAAAAAUUAAAAAAAUAGAGUUGAGGAAGAUGUAAUAAAGGCUUUUACUUUUCUGGAUGAAGUAAAUUCAGUGAACUAGAAACUGAAUAAAUUGAAGAAAGUGAAAGAAAUUAUUGUCAAAUCAUUGGAACUUCUAUGAUUUAUGGAUUUGUAUGCAUAAAUAAUUUAGAUGAAAGUUUAUAUUUUAGGAAUUUUAACUACUACAAAGUUAAUGUAUACAAACUUGGCACCGUUUAUAUAAAAUGGAUAUUUAUAUUUUGAUUUAAAAACCUAGUAAAUUAAUUUAUAAGAUUUAAAAGUAAUUUUAUUUAUUUGUUUAAAAUAUUUUUAAAACUUAUAAGACAAAUAUAAAAACUUAAAAAAAAAAUUGAAAAACUAAUUUGUCAUUUAGCUUAUAAGAUAGUUUGACAAUAUAUGGUUUAUUAUAACUCCCAUAUUAGUUAAUGAGUCAUAGGGAAGAAUGUAUAUUAUCAUGUUUUAAUCUUUUAUAAUAAUGUUAUUUGGAAUCUUAUAUAAAAUUAAUUUAUACUGACCGUAAAAUUUUUGUUUUUUUUUAUACUAGGAGAUGUUUUAUAUGAAUACAAUUAAUUUAUACUGAUCGUAAAAAUUUUUUAAUUGCGAUAUUAAAUAAUUUGGGUUGAAUCGAAUUAUUAUAAUUGAUAGUAAAGUCAUAAAUUAAAAAAAUUAUGCAGAAAAUUGUAUAUAAUUAGUGGUCCUAUAAAAAAAAAAUUGCUAUAAUGAUAUGAGGAGUCGCCCAAGACACUAGCCAACCACAGUACUCGAUGGUCCAUCGUAAGCAUUAAAAACAAUAACAUAAUAGCGUUAAAGAAUAAAAUAUGUUUCAAAAUAUACCAUCAUUUAUCGAAUACCUGUCAAAUAAGGAAAAAUAAAGUAAAAGCAAAAAGAUAUAAUAUUUGAGCCAUGUGUAGAGGGCAACAGGAUGCCAAGUCUUGUGCUGAAAUAUUCCAAAAUCUCCUAGAGCAUAACCUUAAUUCAUCUCUGUAACACAGCAAUAUACAGAAAUGUCAAACUCUAAAAUUGGCUAUGUUAGCAUGAUUAUAGUAAUUCAAUCUUUGCAUAAUUCUAGGAGAUUUAUUUAAUAUAAAUAUAGUGUUAUCAUGAUUAUAGGAAAUUAAUCUUAGUAUAAUGAUAAUGAUUAUUAUACUAAAUAAAUCUCUUAUAAUCAUGCAAAAGAUUAUUAUGCUAAAUAAAUCUCUUAUAAUCAUACAAAGAUUGAUUUCCUAUAAUUAUGUUAAAACAUGAUACCAGACAUGCCUACCGGCAAAUCUCUCAGAAAUAACACACAUUGUAAGUUGGCAGUGUUUAAGAAUUGCAAAACAGAACAGCGCAGCAAAAGGUUAAGAAAAAAGAAUAUUACACGCAUGCAUGGCUAAAUGCUUAUAGAGAAGUAUCGAGAGUUCACCAUUGAAAUCGGUCGGGGAAAUUAGAUUUUCCGCAUAAACAACAGCUCUGUAAAUGAAAGCUUCGCAAAAUUCUUCACAGAUAUUGAAGGUAUCAACUAGCUUCCCGUCUUGGAUGUUCCAC